rnacentral:rRNA from 1 species
AUUGAACGCUGGCGGCAUGCCUUACACAUGCAAGUCGAACGGCAGCGGGGACUUCGGUCCGCCGGCGAGUGGCGAACGGGUGAGUAAUGUAUCGGAACGUACCUUUCAGUGGGGGAUAACGUAGCGAAAGUUACGCUAAUACCGCAUAUUCUCUGAGGAGGAAAGCAGGGGCCCUUCGGGCCUUGUGCUGAUGGAGCGGCCGAUAUCAGAUUAGCUAGUUGGUGGGGUAAAGGCUCACCAAGGCGACGAUCUGUAGCGGGUCUGAGAGGAUGACCCGCCACACUGGGACUGAGACACGGCCCAGACUCCUACGGGAGGCAGCAGUGGGGAAUUUUGGACAAUGGGCGCAAGCCUGAUCCAGCCAUGCCGCGUGAGUGAAGAAGGCCUUCGGGUUGUAAAGCUCUUUCGGACGGGAAGAAAUUGGUGGGGCUAAUAUCCCCAUCGGAUGACGGUACCGUAAUAAGAAGCACCGGCUAACUACGUGCCAGCCGCCGCUGUAACAC